UUAUAAUGGAAAUAAAGCAAACGAUUUAUCAUUCAAGAGACCAGGAGUGACCAGCUGUCAGUCUUGUGGUGCACUGAAACAACAGAUAUACUGGUGUCUGAAAAUGACAACCUCUAAACCUGAAGAAAAAAAAAUGACAACCACUCAGCCCCAAAUUGUCAAUCAGGUUAGACAGUUUUAGGCGCAGGUCUAUACUGGAUUUGAGUUCAUGUGAAUGUGCAGACACGGUGGUGUGGUGGAGUGUUUGUCUGCAGAAUACAGCACAUUACGAGAAAAGUCUGUUCCUGUUUAUUUUACCACUGGUUGUGGUAAGUUAAUAAGGUGUUGGGGUAACAGUCAUACUGCUAAUGGUAAUGAAGCACAAUCCAUCACCACCAGAAAUGAACUAGUCUAUGGUUUUAGAUUUGAAAACUGUCUGAGACCUUCUCUCUGAGGCAGAGCAGGUUUGGUCCAGACCAAUGUUUAGGUCCACAGACCUAACCGUGGGCAUCAACACCAUGACAGGCGGUCUGAGCACACACCUGAAUUUACAUUUGCUCAUGUAAAUACAACAAGCACACACAGGCUUAUAUUCACAUCAAUUAUCAAGUGUCUCUUUUGACUUUAGACUGGGAGCCAAGUCUGUCCAUUUGAGAACCUAAUUGUACAGUGAGGUGCAAGAGUGUAGUCACUGAAGGCAAGUCUGAAAAAACUCAAGUAGAGUUAGCACAGUUGACACAAGGCAUUGUGUUUGACAUGGUUAAAAAAAUAAAAGUUUUCUCUAUUUUUGACCAAAGGGAACCAGAGGUAAUGAUGGAUUUUUACUAUUAUGGUCUGUCCUGUGCUGUGCAUUAUUGCGUGAAGGAUGCAGACCUCACAGCGUGACUAAAUACAGAGUUCUCUGAACAGUCACUGAUUGCAGCGGAAACACACACACAUUUACUGGUAAAUAGUUGUGGUAUUAGCUCAAGUGAAAUGUUUAUAAAAAUGAAUUAAUUCAUCAACAAUUCAGACGUACAAAACUGUCAAUGGCUACAGCCAGAUGCUAGUUUCAAAUGUUUCACACCGACUUGUACAAAGAAUUAAAAUGUGGACAUAGACAGGGAAGCAGGCAAACAUCCCGAGUGUCCUGUUGCUGUUUAUUUUCCUUAGUGUAACUAUAAACACAACAACUAGUAACAGCAGAGCUACAAGGCAAGAGUGGAAGAAAUACUUUUUAGCUGAAAUGAUUUGUUCACUCACAGUUCUGGGAGGAAAACUUGUGGUUGAUGUCUGACAGACGGUCACGGCCUUCAGGGAAUAUGCAGAGUUGCUGACUGUGUUUUUUUUCCUUAAAAUUUUAUUGUCUUUUUUCCAAGUAA